UGUGAGCUCGAUGAGUAGGGCGGGACACGUGGUAUCCUGUCUGAAUAUGGGGGGACCAUCCUCCAAGGCUAAAUACUCCUGACUGACCGAUAGUGAACCAGUACCGUGAGGGAAAGGCGAAAAGAACCCCGGCGAGGGGAGUGAAAAAGAACCUGAAACCGUGUACGUACAAGCAGUGGGAGCCUCUUUUAUGGGGUGACUGCGUACCUUUUGUAUAAUGGGUCAGCGACUUAUAUUCUGUAGCAAGGUUAACCGAAUAGGGGAGCCGAAGGGAAACCGAGUCUUAACUGGGCGUUAAGUUGCAGGGUAUAGACCCGAAACCCGGUGAUCUAGCCAUGGGCAGGUUGAAGGUUGGGUAACACUAACUGGAGGACCGAACCGACUAAUGUUGAAAAAUUAGCGGAUGACUUGUGGCUGGGGGUGAAAGGCCAAUCAAACCGGGAGAUAGCUGGUUCUCCCCGAAAGCUAUUUAGGUAGCGCCUCGUGAAUUCAUCUCCGGGGGUAGAGCACUGUUUCGGCAAGGGGGUCAUCCCGACUUACCAACCCGAUGCAAACUGCGAAUACCGGAGAAUGUUAUCACGGGAGACACACGGCGGGUGCUAACGUCCGUCGUGAAGAGGGAAACAACCCAGACCGCCAGCUAAGGUCCCAAAGUCAUGGUUAAGUGGGAAACGAUGUGGGAAGGCCCAGACAGCCAGGAUGUUGGCUUAGAAGCAGCCAUCAUUUAAAGAAAGCGUAAUAGCUCACUGGUCGAGUCGGCCUGCGCGGAAGAUGUAACGGGGCUAAACCAUGCACCGAAGCUGCGGCAGCGACGCUUAUGCGUUGUUGGGUAGGGGAGCGUUCUGUAAGCCUGUGAAGGUGUGCUGUGAGGCAUGCUGGAGGUAUCAGAAGUGCGAAUGCUGACAUAAGUAACGAUAAAGCGGGUGAAAAGCCCGCUCGCCGGAAGACCAAGGGUUCCUGUCCAACGUUAAUCGGGGCAGGGUGAGUCGACCCCUAAGGCGAGGCCGAAAGGCGUAGUCGAUGGGAAACAGGUUAAUAUUCCUGUACUUGGUGUUACUGCGAAGGGGGGACGGAGAAGGCUAUGUUGGCCGGGCGACGGUUGUCCCGGUUUAAGCGUGUAGGCUGGUUUUCCAGGCAAAUCCGGAAAAUCAAGG
rnacentral:rRNA from 1 species